GUUAGCAUUUAUAUAGCGCCAACUUAUUCUGUAGCGCUGUAUAAUUAAAUAGUAUAAGGGAAUAUUAAAACGUAAACAAGGCCUUGCUCAAACGAGCUUACAAUCUACGAGAAUUUGAGGUAGAUGGAUAUAUAUAUCAAAAUGGCAGAAAUGCAUAAAAUAUUUGACUUUUUUCCAACUGAGAUACUAAGUACUAUAUUUUUAAAGUCAA